GAUGAACGCUGGCGGCGCGCCUAACACAUGCAAGUCGAACGAUUAAAGCACCUUCGGGUGUGUAUAAAGUGGCGAACGGCUGAGUAACACGUGGGCAACCUGCCCCUUUCAUUGGGAUAGCCACGGGAAACCGUGGAUAAUACCGAAUACUUCGAGACUUCCGCAUGGAAGACUCGAGAAAGCUCCGGCGGAGAGGGAUGGGCCCGCGGCCUGUUAGCUUGUUGGUGGGGUAACGGCCUACCAAGGCAAUGAUGGGUAGCUGGGUUGAGAGACCGACCAGCCAGAUUGGGGCUGAGACACGGCCCAGACUCCUACGGGAGGCAGCAGUGGGGAAUCUUGCACAAUGGGCGAAAGCCUGAUGCAGCGACGCCGCGUGCGGGAUGAAGGCCUUCGGGUUGUAAACCGCUUUCAGCAGGGACGAGGCGAAAGUGACGGUACCUGCAGAAGAAGCCCCGGCUAACUACGUG
rnacentral:rRNA from 1 species